AUGAGAAACGUCUACCAAUUUACUAUAAAUAAGACAUUCACAGUAGAAGAAACGAAAUAAUUGAACUUUGUAUUCUGAACUUUUAAUGUUAAUAAUGUUCUGAACUUUUUUUUCUUCUUAUUUUAGAACAUUAAGCUUUUAUAUUUCAUGAGAGCUGAUUUUUCUUUUGGUUUAUAUGCAGAUACCCUAUUAUGACGAUUUCUCCACUGAAGCUAUAUAUGAUUUGAUUGUACACCUCUUUGAUAUAUCAUUUCGAUAACAUCUUUGUUCCUCAAUCUGAGAUGAUUUGAGAGAAGUGGUCAUAUUUCAGACCUCUAAGAGUUCACCAUUCCGAUCAUGCAAAAGAUGUGCACUCGGAAUGGUAUUUUCUCUACUGUACAUCAAAAUUGGAUAAUCAUUUAUAUUUUUAAAAUAUCUAUAGUAGGAUGGUAUUUUCUCUACUGAAAUAAUAUCUUAUUUCCUAAUCUCAUGCUUUAAUAUUUAAACUUUAAGGACAAGAUUUGUUAAUUAAAUCAUUAGUGUAAACUACUCCCGAGAUAUUCUCUUUUUUAUAUUUAAAAUGUAAUUUUAGUAACAAUAUAUUCCAUAAAUAAUCCUAACUUAUAGGUAGAUACAUUUUUAAAAUUAAAUUGAGAACAUUCUAUUACAUAGCUUAUUGUGAAAGCUAAAUAUUUUAGUAAAGUCUAGCAUUUUACUUAUCUUUUGUGUUUUCUCGAUUCAAAUAACAUCUUUUUGAGAUCAUUUCUCUGUUUAAUUCAUUAAAUACUCACUAAAUAUUUUAGAUGUCAGAGAAACGAAAUUAAUUGACAAGAUAUUUUCUCUCCUAAAAUCAUGCAUUUAAAACUUAAUAUUUAUGGUGAGACUUGUCAACCAAAAUUCUGGUGCAAUCUAUUCACGAGAUGUUAUCAUUUAGCUUUAUUAACAAGAUAUUCCAAAAAUAAUAUUACCUUAUAAGUAUAAGAUUUAUUGAGAAUUUAUUAAAGAAUAUUCUACUUCUUAGCUUAUCACGUUUUUAUCAAAAGAAAACGUCAGUAGAUCAAAUUAAUUUUUACAUGUUCUUUCAGGCUUGAGUUUAUCAGAAGAUCAAAUUAAGAGUUUAUCUUUGGCGGAGAUUGAAUCAAUCAUGCGUUUGAACGGAAGCUCAUUUACAUUGUUUAAGUUUUGAAACGUGUUAUCAAUAGUAUACUCUUCUAUUGGUUAAGAUGUGGCUUUUGUUAGAUUUUCUAUUAAUUAAUUUUUUUUGUUUUACUUUUGUGGAAUUCGCGAUAUUGUAAUGUUGUAAAUCAAUAAUAAAGACAUUUUUCUCACUA